GAGUUUGAUCCUGGCUCAGAACGAACGUUGGCGGCGUGGAUUAGGCAUGCAAGUCGGGGGUGCCAGCAAUGGCAACCGGCGUAAGGGGCAGUAAGGCAUGGGUACCUACCUCGGGGUUCGGGAUAGCCAUCAGAGACGGUGGGUAAUACCGGAUGACCUCGCGAGAGCAAAGAUUUAUCGCCCGGAGAGGGGCCCAUGUGAUAUUAGCUAGUUGGCGGGGUAAUGGCCCACCAAGGCUUAGAUGUCUAGCGGGUGUGAGAGCACGACCCGCGCCACUCGCACUGAGACACUGGCGAGACACCUACGGGUGGCUGCAGUCGAGGAUCUUCGGCAAUGGGGGCAACCCUGACCGAGCGACGCCGCGUGUGCGACGAAGGCCUUCGGGUUGUAAAGCACUGUCGAGGGGGAGAAAGGCCGCAAGGCGUGAUCUAUCCCUGGAGGAAGCUCGGGCUAAGUUCGUGCCAGCAGCCGCGGUAAGACGAACCGAGCGAACGUUGUUCGGAAUAACUGGGCUUAAAGGGCGCGUAGGCGGGCUCCCAAGUUCGAGGUGAAAUCCUCCGGCUCAACCGGAGAACUGCCUCGAAUACUGGAGGCCUCGAGGCGGGUAGGGGCGUGCGGAACUGUGGGUGGAGCGGUGAAAUGCGUUGAUAUCCACAGGAACUCCGGUGGCGAAGGCGGCACGCUGGACCCGAUCUGACGCUGAGGCGCGAAAGCCAGGGGAGCAAACGGGAUUAGAUA
rnacentral:rRNA from 1 species